UAGAGUUUGAUCCUGGCUCAGAUUGAACGCUGGCGGCAUGCUUUACACAUGCAAGUCGAACGGCAGCGCGGGGCAACCUGGCGGCGAGUGGCGAACGGGUGAGUAAUAUAUCGGAACGUACCCAGAAGUGGGGGAUAACGUAGCGAAAGUUACGCUAAUACCGCAUACGAUCUACGGAUGAAAGUGGGGGACCUUCGGGCCUCAUGCUUUUGGAGCGGCCGAUAUCUGAUUAGCUAGUUGGUGAGGUAAAGGCUCACCAAGGCGACGAUCAGUAGCUGGUCUGAGAGGACGACCAGCCACACUGGGACUGAGACACGGCCCAGACUCCUACGGGAGGCAGCAGUGGGGAAUUUUGGACAAUGGGCGCAAGCCUGAUCCAGCAAUGCCGCGUGAGUGAAGAAGGCCUUCGGGUUGUAAAGCUCUUUUGUCAGGGAAGAAACGGUCUAGGCUAAUAUCCUGGGCUAAUGACGGUACCUGAAGAAUAAGCACCGGCUAACUACGUGCCAGCAGCCGCGGUAAUACGUAGGGUGCAAGCGUUAAUCGGAAUUACUGGGCGUAAAGCGUGCGCAGGCGGUUUUGUAAGUCUGUCGUGAAAGCCCCGGGCUUAACCUGGGAAUUGCGAUGGAGACUGCAAGGCUUGAAUCUGGCAGAGGGGGGUAGAAUUCCACGUGUAGCAGUGAAAUGCGUAGAGAUGUGGA
rnacentral:rRNA from 1 species